rnacentral:rRNA from 1 species
AACGAACGCUGGCGGCAUGCCUAACACAUGCAAGUCGAACGAAGCCUUCGGGCUUAGUGGCGCACGGGUGCGUAACGCGUGGGAAUCUGCCCUUAGGUACGGAAUAACUCAGGGAAACUUGUGCUAAUACCGUAUGAUGUCUUCGGACCAAAGAUUUAUCGCCUAGGGAUGAGCCCGCGUCGGAUUAGCUAGUUGGUGGGGUAAAGGCCUACCAGGGCGACGAUCCGUAGCUGGUCUGAGAGGAGGAUCAGCCACACUGGGACUGAGACACGGCCCAGACUCCUACGGGAGGCAGCAGUGGGGAAUAUUGGACAAUGGGCGAAAGCCUGAUCCAGCAAUGCCGCGUGAGUGAAGAAGGCCUUCGGGUUGUAAAGCUCUUUCACCGAUGAAGAUAAUGACGGUAGUCGGAGAAGAAGCCCCGGCUAACUUCGUGCCAGCCGCCGCGGUAA